CAGGUCUGCACAGACAACCUGCUCUGGGCUCCUCCCCAUAACAAUCACAGAGCUCUGGAACACACCAGCCUAAUGAGACCGAGACACCACUUUGAGGGCAGAGAGAGGAAGUGGCUAACCUCAUGAGAGAUGUUGGAUCUGGGGCCAAUCUGGGGCCUAAACCUUGCUGGGGAGGUGGUACAGAAUAAAGCGAGAACAUUUCUCCAUCAGGAACGUGAGUGAAUGAUGGAAUGAAGGUAUAUUUAGUUUCCACAAAGAGAUUUUUUUUUCCCACAGUGAUAAUGUAAUGUAAUCUUAGUGAUUGGCUAUCACUUUAUUAAUAACAAAUUGGUCACAUUUAUAAAAAGAUUUAAUUUAAAUAUUCCUUUUCCUUAAGAAUCAAUAACUAUGGCAUUUGAAUCAAUAGUUAAAUGCUACACAUCAGUUUAAUUGCUGCCUGAAAUUAAUCAGCAGUCUCACACUUACUGAACCAUAAAUAUUCCAGGAAAAAGGAAGACUUUACGCUUACCAAGAAGUCUUGAUAUUGGGGUAAGGGAAGGUCGGAUGGCAAGAGCAUGACAUUCAGUGCUGGUGGCAGUUGGGAAUGUCACACAGAAAGGCAAAGGUCUCCAAGCUAUUGUUCAGCUUUUCUGUUGUCUGUGGGAUGCCUGCUCAGAUGUCCAGAGCUCCAGGAGUGUUCUUUCAGUCUCCCUGCUCUGGGCCCAUGGAUGGCUGAACCAGGCCUCCAGGUUAUGGUUCUGAGGCCCUGUAUAUCGACACAGAGGCAGACCCUGGACUGUGGUUUCUGGAGGAAUCCAAGCUACUUACACUACAAAGCAGCACAACAAGAAACCUUCCAAAAGUGGUCUUGGAGCAAUUUAAAUGCUUAAGUUUUGGUUGACUGCUUAUUUUUAUGAAAAACAUAAAUAAACCACUCUUAAGUCAUUAGCCUUUGAAACUGUGUGUUGUUCAAGGAUGGUUUCUUAUGUCAUCGCUUUCCCCCAUCUAACAAAUUUCUAACACAUACAUGCA
rnacentral:lncRNA from 1 species